UCUUUAGCUGAACUUAGAGAGGAGGAAAGUUUGCUAUUGACGGAAAGGAUAAAUUUGAAAAAUGAACUGGCAGCUUUGCGUCUCACUCUUGAGAAAAAGAGAGCUACAAAUGACAGUUUGAAGAGAAUUAAGGUGGAAAAUAUUGGAGCAACUUUCACUUGGAGUUUGGAAAUGGAAGCUCUUUUGUAAUUACUUUAGCUUGUAAUUCUGAUGUUCAAUGAUCUGGAGAUAUCUUAGCAAGUUUUUCAUUCUUUAAUUUAGGUGAUGCGAUUUGCACAUUAAUUGUUUGGUCAAAAGUUGAGUUAAUGAAGUUGUACGUAGAGUUUUUCAAUGCUUUAUUUGGGAUUUGUUGGGUAUUGGAUCUUAUAAACAAUGAAAACAAGGCUGACUAGUUCUUUCUUUGGUGGGAGUGCUAUUGCUGGUUUUGUUGAAAGUUGCAUAUGAGAGAAUACUGGGAACUAUUGAGGAUUUGACUUAACACUAUUAUUUCUUGCCUAGCAUACAA